AGGAUCAUUAUUGAAUUAAAACUUGGUUGGGUUGUUGCUGGCUUUUAGGAGCAUGUGCACGCUCACUCCGUUUUUAACCACCUGUGCACACAAUGUAGGCCUGGAUGGAUUAUUCGAGGAAACUCGGUUUGAGAACUGUUUUCGGAGCUGUUCUUGCGUUCAGGUCUAUGUAUUUUCAACAUAUACCCUAUAACAAGUAAUAGAAUGUUCAUUUAUAGGCCCUUGUUGCCUUUAAAACCUAAUACAACUUUCAACAACGGAUCUCUUGGCUCUCGCAUCGAUGAAGAACGCAGCGAAAUGCGAUAAGUAAUGUGAAUUGCAGAAUUCAGUGAAUCAUCGAAUCUUUGAACGCACCUUGCGCUCCUUGGUAUUCCGAGGAGCAUGCCUGUUUGAGUGUCAUGAAAUUAUCAAUCUUUCUGGCUUUUCAUGAGUCAAGAAGGACUUGGAUUGUGGGAGUUGCUGGUUUUUGUGAUCGGCUCUUCUUAAAUGUAUUAGCGAAAUUCUUGGCUAAAACUAUCUUUGGUAUGAUAAUUAUCUAUACUAUUGAGGUGUGGCCGUUACUUCUAAGGUUUUCAGGCUCCACUUGGAUUUCCAAGUGUUCGAUUCAACCGUUCUGAAGCACCAGCUUCUUUUAGCACAGAUGUUAAUUCAUCUGAGGGUGUUGAAUAAUUUCAGGUUGACGAAGCGAAGUGCUUUUAGGAAGCGCUCACGGGAGCAAGCAUGCUUUAUUGUGUGCACUGUCAUAUUCCUGUACCUACCCUAGCUACUAUGUGGCUUUGAUGGGUCUGGUCAAACCAUGACCUGAACAUAUCCUUAGAGGGAGAAUAUUGCUUCUAAUCUAAUUUUGCUUCCUUAAAAGAAACAAAAGAAAACACUUUGACAAUUUGACCUCAAAUCAGGUAGGACUACCCGCUGAACUUAUGCAUAUCAAUAUGCGGAGGAAAAGAAACUAACAAGGAUUCCCCUAGUAACUGCGAGUGAAGCGGGAAAAGCUCAAAUUUAAAAUCUGGUAGUCUUUGGCUGCCCGAGUUGUAAUCUAGAGAAGUGUUAUCCGCGCUGGACCGUGUACAAGUCUCCUGGAAUGGAGCGUCACAGAGGGUGAGAAUCCCGUCUUUGACACGGACUACCAGGGCUUUGUGAUGCGCUCUCAAAGAGUCGAGUUGUUUGGGAAUGCAGCUCUAAAUGGGUGGUAAAUUCCAUCUAAAGCUAAAUAUUGGCGAGAGACCGAUAGCGAACAAGUACCGUGAGGGAAAGAUGAAAAGAACUUUGGAAAGAGAGUUAAACAGUACGUGAAAUUGUUGAAAGAGAAACGCUUGAAGUCAGUCACGUUGGCCAGGGAUCAACCUUGCCUUUUGUGCUCGGUGUACUUUCUGGUUGAUGGGUCAGCAUCAGUUUUGACCAGUGGAAAAAGAUCAGGGGAAUGUGGCAUCUUCGGAUGUGUUAUAGCCCUUGGUUGCAUACAUUGGUUGGGAUUGAGGAACUCAGCACGCCGCAAGGCCGG
rnacentral:rRNA from 1 species